rnacentral:lncRNA from 1 species
ACCGAGGAGUGGCCGGACACCCAGCUAAGGUCCUGCCAACCACCUGCCUCUCCGAGGAGGAGGUAGCCAAGAAGCGGAAAAACCUGGCCACUUACUGCCGGCCAGUCAAGGCCAAGCACUGUCAGGCUGGUGUCCCUCCUGAUGGGACCUGCUCUGUGCGUCGCAAGAAGCCAGGUCCAGCCCUGCCCUUUGAGGAGAAGUGCUCUACACUGAAGUCAAAAGCUCAUUAACGAGAAAGUGCCUGCCCACUGCAACGGAGCCGCCAGCACCUCCUCCCCUCCAGAUCUGGGCCCCAGGCUGCUGCCGCUUUUUAUAACUUUAUAUUAUUUUUUUUAAGAAAAAAAAAAAACUCUUUAAAAUACCUC